AGAGGGUGAUUCUGGCUCAGGACGAACGCUGGCGGCGCGCCUAACACAUGCAAGUCGAACGAGAGAGAGGGAGCUUGCUUCCUCAAUCGAGUGGCGAACGGGUGAGUAACGCGUGAGGAACCUGCCUCAAAGAGGGGGACAACAGUUGGAAACGACUGCUAAUACCGCAUAAGCCCACGGGUCGGCAUCGACCAGAGGGAAAAGGAGCAAUCCGCUUUGAGAUGGCCUCGCGUCCGAUUAGCUAGUUGGUGAGGUAACGGCCCACCAAGGCGACGAUCGGUAGCCGGACUGAGAGGUUGAACGGCCACAUUGGGACUGAGACACGGCCCAGACUCCUACGGGAGGCAGCAGUGGGGAAUAUUGCACAAUGGGGGAAACCCUGAUGCAGCGACGCCGCGUGGAGGAAGAAGGUCUUCGGAUUGUAAACUCCUGUUGUUGAGGAAGAUAAUGACGGUACUCAACAAGGAAGUGACGGCUAACUACGUGCCAGCAGCCGCGGUAAAACGUAGGUCAUAAGCGUUGUCCGGAAUUACUGGGUGUAAAGGGAGCGCAGGCGGGAAGACAAGUUGGAAGUGAAAUCUAUGGGCUCAACCCAUAAACUGCUUUCAAAACUGUUUUUCUUGAGUAGUGCAGAGGUAGGCGGAAUUCCCGGUGUAGCGGUGGAAUGCGUAGAUAUCGGGAGGAACACCAGUGGCGAAGGCGGCCUACUGGGCACCAACUGACGCUGAGGCUCGAAAGUGUGGGUAGCAAACAGGAUUAGAUACCCUGGUAGUCCACACCGUAAACGAC
rnacentral:rRNA from 1 species